rnacentral:rRNA from 1 species
GACGAACGCUGGCGGCGUGCUUAACACACGCAAGUCGAACGGAAAGGCCCUGCUUUUGUGGGGUGCUCGAGUGGCGAACGGGUGAGUAACACGUGAGUAACCUGCCCUUGACUUUGGGAUAACUUCAGGAAACUGGGGCUAAUACCGGAUAGGAGCUCCUGCUGCAUGGUGGGGGUUGGAAAGUUUCGGCGGUUGGGGAUGGACUCGCGGCUUAUCAGCUUGUUGGUGGGGUAGUGGCUUACCAAGGCUUUGACGGGUAGCCGGCCUGAGAGGGUGACCGGCCACAUUGGGACUGAGAUACGGCCCAGACUCCUACGGGAGGCAGCAGUGGGGAAUAUUGCACAAUGGGCGGAAGCCUGAUGCAGCAACGCCGCGUGCGGGAUGACGGCCUUCGGGUUGGAAACCGCUUUCGCCUGUGACGAAGCGUGAGUGACGGUAAUGGGUAAAGAAGCACCGGCUAACUACGUGC